rnacentral:rRNA from 1 species
UACGUAGGGACCGAGCGUUGUCCGGAAUCAUUGGGCGUAAAGAGCGUGUAGGCGGCUUUACAGGUCCGUUGUGAAAACUCGAGGCUCAACCUCGAGACGCCGGUGGAAACCGUAAGGCUAGAGUCCGGAAGAGGAGAGUGGAAUUCCUGGUGUAGCGGUGAAAUGCGCAGAUAUCAGGAAGAACACCCGUGGCGAAGGCGGCUCUCUGGGACGGUACUGACGCUGAGACGCGAAAGCGUGGGGAGCGAACAGG